UUGGGAACGCCUUGUCGGCGCAGCGGACCUGACUUACACCGUGCCAGCACCACAUCGCCGGCGAAGCACGUAAAUAGAGCCCCAGGAGUCUAUGUUCCAAGGGAGACCUGGCCAAGUAUGGCUGCAACACAAGGUUUCAACAAUAAGCCGAUCACACUCAUAUAGUAAACCUUACAAAACUGUGGAAUAAGUCAGCUAAAACAAAUAUUCAAAAAGCCAGAUUUUCAGACUUUAACACACUAAGUCGAAGACCAACCUUUGACCCUUUUUGAAUGAACCAAUCAGAAUAAUCUGUUCAUAGGUGUUUAUAUGAAGAACUUUUAAUUCUAAUCAGGCUAGUAUUCCAUUUUUUUGUGGAAACAGAGCCAGUGUUACACUUAGUUAGGUCGAAUAAAUUCUGGAGGGCCCAGUUUCUAAACCAGAGAGUCUGAUCACCAUGAUUUUAAAUAUGAAACAAAUACAGAACUGCUUGUCUAUGAUGGCCAGAAGGGGGCAACUCCUUUAGUUGGAUUCUGUGUUUUGAGCUGCUACCACAAAGACUUGUCAUUCAAGAAGAAGACAAGGUAAUGAGUAUCUCAAACUUUCAACCAAAAAUCUCAUAAACUAAAGAAUCUGAAGCUGAGUGAAUAACAGGCCAAGACAAAGUCAACCCCUGAGUUUUCUUUUGAGGAUAAAGAGGACCAUGUUGGUGACAUUAACUGUAUCUGGAAAACCCAGAUCAGCACCAGGGUCAGCACCCUACACACCGUGUGUGUGCACACAUCAAAGGGUGUGUGUCCUGCAAGUGUUAGGUGUCAGCUCAGAGUGACACUCAGGGCUAAACUCACUGACAGAGUGUGACAGGGUCAGCUUCACACUUUCAGUUUCUGUCUGCAAACCUCAAUUUUUGACCUCCAAGUGAAAGAGUGUUUUCUACAGUUUUUUUUUAAUGCCAACAUCAAAUGUUUAAACAUUUGAAUGUGAACUCAUUUCUAGACUUCAACUUAGUUUCUCUUUGUGAAUGCUUUUCAAAAGAGGAGUGAUCUACAGACAGUACUUCCUCACAAAAAAAAACAGCAGGAAAAUACAUGCAUGCCAAAGCAUCACCGAAUACACAGCUGUGUGCAGGCAGACAUCACAAAGUCCCCUAGAUGCACUUAAAUAUGCACACUGAACAUGAAAUGAAGACACGAAAACUCACAUGCACUCUCACAUACACAUACACAAACACACACACACACUCACUCACUCAUACACACACUCAGCGGUCUGUAAUUACAGUCACUGGCAGGGAAACAGCAGCCUCACAUCGUCAAUGAGAGCAGGGAAAACAAUGAACACACAGAGCAGAUGAUUGCUGUAAAUAAAAGAAUGAAAGUGGAGCAGGGGAGGAACAGAGGAGGACACCAUCCAUCUGGCACAGAGUGAAACAGAGAUUGGAAGGAACGAGGGUGAAAGUAAAACAGAAAGAAAUUGAAGAAGGGGAAAGCAGAGGCUGAAAUCAUGUAGGGAGGGUGGUUAUGGAAUGAAGUUUCCUCAUUUUCCAUUUCUGUCAGUUUGAAAUAUGAAUAAGAAAAUUUAGUCUAACUGUUUCACCAAAUGUGCAGCGAAGCUGGGUAGAAGAGGGAACUUCUGUAUUUGAUCCAAAUGUCAGAGCGUCUUUGGUAAUUCCAUCAGGUGAGGAGCAGAGGAGGAAAUAAAAAAGGCUCACCCCAGAAACAAUCUUAUAAUGACAAUCAAAUACUGUAUGUCUCCAGCAUAAAGUUUUAUUCAAUUGCUUUAUUACUCUUUGACCCUGAACAGACUUUUGUAAGUCCUGCUCCCUCCUGUCAGAGCUGUAUCUUAAGACAUUAUUCAUCUAUAAUGCUGAAAACAAUGGCAUUGCUUUUCACUACAUGGGAACAUGAAAACACAACAUGGACAUGAAGUUAAAAUGAUGUAUUAACAAACAGAAAAGUCAGGGUAACAAGUUGGAAAACCAAGAUGGACACCUACAGUUAGUCAUUGUUAGCUGUUGUUUACAAUUGCCAGCUGUUGUUAGCCAUUGUUAGUUAUUGUUAGCUAUACCAGUUGUAAACAACGUAUAACACAGUAUUUUACUCUUACAAACAAUUUAGCACCAUGUCCACAGUUAGACGUUGGGCAGUACAUCAUAUACCACUUAUUUAAUUUCACAAAAACAAAACAGAAGUGCUAAUAAGUAAUACAUUACAAGAGCUUUCAGUAUUACUCUUUACUGUUGAUGCACUGUGCUGCCAUCUUGGAUUACGACGUUGUCGUCAAGUCAGGGUUGGUGAGGAUCAUCCGACUUGGAGCUCGGGAAUUCUGACUUCUGAGUACAACUGGAACGCAGCAUUAGUAGUGAUUGGGGAGCGAAAAUAAGUAUACCCAAAAAUAAUUCAACAAAUGCAUCAGGUACUUUCAUGUCCUGUGUGAACGAGUUUUGAGGUGGACUCCAUGACUCUCAUUUGCUCAUUUGCACUUAUAAAAAGCCGAGAACAUCCUAAUCUUUUUACCCUGGAUUUGCCCACUAAGUCCACCACCCUGAAGUCCCCCUCAGCCG
rnacentral:lncRNA from 1 species